CAGACGUGCGCUCUUCCGAUAUUGACUACCACUCUAAGUGGCCUGAGGUUUGCUUUACCCAUGCAGUCACUUCUGACGCAGUAAUUACAUUUCUGUCAGCACUUUUCAGUAGGGAAGGUUUCCCAGAAGCAAUCGUCACGGACAACGGUCCACAAUUUAAAUCUCAACUAUUUGAGAAGUUCCUCUCCGACAGAGGCAUACAGCAUCUUUGCUCUUCGAACUACUAUCCGCAAUCUAACGGUCAAGUUGAACGCUUCAACCGUGUUUUGAAAGAGCAAAUUCAGCUCGCUCAACUUGAAUGCCGCCCACUGAAACAAGCUGUAACAGAGUACUUAGGCACGUAUCGCUUUACGCCUCAAGCUACUACAGGCUUGUCGCCUGCACAACUUCUGCAUAACCGCCAACCGCGUUCUGGAAUUGACAUUGCAGGGUUACACCCGAACUCUCCCGCUCCUUCGCCAAGUUUGGAUCCUGUGAGAACACGAGUGUUCCACAAGCAACAGGCAACUAAGCAACGCAUUGAUUCUAAGCGUGGAGCAAAACCUCCUAAGCUACAGGUGGGCCUCAGAGUCAAAGUUCGUCUGCCAGGGAAGCAGAAUAAAUACAGAGGUCCUUAUACAAUCCUUAGUCAAACUGGAUUCAAUUCCUUUCGCCUUAGUGAUGGCAACGUCUGGAAUGCAUCAAAGCUGGUAGUUGUUCAUGCUGAGCAGAAUGCAACUCCACAGCAGAAUUCAUGUCCUCCACCUAACACAUCUUCCAUGCAACAACAUAAUUCCUCCCCACCUCCAUGUUCUUCUGCAGUUCCACAGUUAGUGCGACUUCCACUAACCACCUUGCAGGCACCUUCACAACAAUCGGCUGAUGUGCCCAGCCCCAAUGCAACGCUUCUCGAAGGGGGGAUAGAUACGUCGACUAACAUGCCGCCUACGGAAAAUCUUGAACCCUUGCCGCAUUCGCUCUCCGAUGAGCGUGUAGGUGAGCCCCAAGGCUCAAAUUCCUCUACUGACCGAUCCCUUCGUCCCAAACGGCACCGAAGAAAGCCAUCUCGAUACAAGGACUAUGUUCCUUG
rnacentral:lncRNA from 1 species